rnacentral:rRNA from 1 species
CCUACGGGUGGCAGCAGUGGGGAAUAUUGCACAAUGGGCGAAAGGCUGAUGCAGCAACGCCGCGUGAGCGAUGAAGGCCUUCGGGUUGUAAAGCUCUGUCCUCAAGGAAGAUAAUGAAGGUACGUGAGGAGGAAGCACCGGCUAACUACGUGCAAGCAGCCGCGGCAAUAUGUAGGGGGUUGGCGUUAUCCGGAAUUACUGGGCGUAAAGCGCUCUUAGGCGGUAUGUCAAGUCAAUGGUGAACUCCCCGCGCUCAACGUGGGAACUGCCGUUCGAACUGGCAAACUGGAGUGUGUGAGAGGAUAGUGGAAUGCCAGGUGUAGGAGUGAAAUGCGUAGAUAUCUCGAAGAACAUCAGUGGCGAAGGCGGCUAUCUGUCACAUAACUGACGCUGAGGAGCGAAGGCGUGGGUAGCGAACAGGAUUAGAUACCCCAGUAGUC